GACACUUAUGCCCGUUUUCACCAACAACCUCUUACCGUUUCCCUAUCUAAAAGCUACUUUUAAUAAGGACCCCUCCCAAUUUGACACCUACCUAAAUUCAUUUUCACCACACUUGUACAUGGAUCCCUUAAAAGAAAAAGACAAGCUAGUGAAAUUGCUGACGUCUCAUAGAGACACAAUAUUAAACAAAAAACGGAUGGGACCACGAACGAAGCCAAAAACAAAGCUUGGAUCCAGUCACAAAUAGUUUUAAUGCGACAGGAACCCUUUACAGUUUCAGGUGGUGCGAGAAAUUGGAAAGACGUGUAAAAACAUGCUGCGCCCAGCCCACCUCAAAUUGAAUUGGUGCAGGAGGAUGAUGAUAAUGUUUGGUACAUCAUAUGAGGACUAAUAUUAAAAUAUUUGUUUAC